rnacentral:rRNA from 1 species
UACGUAGGGUGCGAGCGUUGUCCGGAAUUAUUGGGCGUAAAGAGCUCGUAGGCGGUCUGUCGCGUCGGUCGUGAAAACUUGGGGCUUAACCCUGAGCUUGCGGUCGAUACGGGCAUGACUGGAGUUCGGCAGGGGAGACUGGAAUUCCUGGUGUAGCGGUGAAAUGCGUAGAUAUCGUAAGGAAGACCAGUGGCGAAGGCGGGUCUCUGGACAGUUCCUGACGCUGAGGCACGAAGGUCAGGGGAGCAAACGGG